CGCGUAGGCGGGAUGGCAAGUCGGUCGUGAAAUCCUUCGGCUCAACCGAAGAACGUCGGCCGAUACUGCCGUUCUUGAGGGAUGCAGAGGGGACUGGAAUUCCCGGUGUAGCGGUGAAAUGUGUAGAGAUCGGGAGGAACACCGGUGGCGAAGGCGGGUCUCUGGGCAUCUCCUGACGCUGAGGCGCGAAAGCGUGGGGAGCAAACGGGAUUAGAUACCCCGGUAGUCCACGCCAUAAACGAUGACGACUAGGUGUGGGGUGGUUCAGUCCACUCCGUGCCGCAGCUAACGCAUUAAGUCGUCCGCCUGGGGAGUACGGCCGCAAGGUUGAA
rnacentral:rRNA from 1 species